rnacentral:rRNA from 1 species
GGCCGCGGGAAUUCGAUUCAGGCCUAACACAUGCAAGUCGAGCGAAUUGACAGAGGUGCUUGCACCUCUCGAUUUUAGCGGCGGACGGGUGAGUAACACGUGGGUAACCUACCUAUAAGACUGGGAUAACUUCGGGAAACCGGAGCUAAUACCGGAUAAUAUUUAGCUUCGCAUGAAGCAAUAGUGAAAGACGGUUCUGCUGUCACUUAUAGAUGGACCUGCGGUGUAUUAGCUAGUUGGUGAGGUAACGGCUCACCAAGGCAACGAUACAUAGCCGACCUGAGAGGGUGAUCGGCCACACUGGGACUGAGACUCGGCCCAGACUCCUACGGGAGGCAGCAGUAGGGAAUCUUCCGCAAUGGACGAAAGUCUGACGGAGCAAGGCCGCGUGAGUGAAGAAGGUUUUCGGAUCGUAAAACUAUGGGUAAGGGAAGAACAAGUACGUUAGUAACUGAACGUACCUUGACGGUCUUACCAGAAG